AACGAACGCUGGCGGCAUGCCUAACACAUGCAAGUCGAACGAGACCUUCGGGUCUAGUGGCGCACGGGUGCGUAACGCGUGGGAACCUGCCCGUAGGUUCGGAAUAACUCCCCGAAAGGGGUGCUAAUACCGGAUAAUGUCUUCGGACCAAAGAUUUAUCACCUUUGGAUGGGCCCGCGUUGGAUUAGCUAGUUGGUAGGGUAAAAGCCUACCAAGGCUACGAUCCAUAGCUGGUCUGAGAGGAUGAUCAGCCACACUGGUACUGAGACACGGCCCAGACUCCUACGGGCGGGAGCAGAGGGGAAUGGUAGACGCUGAGCGAAAACCUGAUCCGGCCAUGCCGCGUAAGUGAUGAAGGCCUUAGGGUUGUAAAGCUCUUUUACCCGGGAUGAUAAUGACAGUACCGGGGGAAUAAGCUCCGGCUAACUCCGUG
rnacentral:rRNA from 1 species